AGAUAAUAGAUACCCUGGUAGUCCUAGCUGUAAACGGUGCGUAUUUGAGGUGGGAGGAUUCGACCCCUUCCGUCUCGUAGCUAAACGCGUUAAAUACGCCGCCUGGGGAGUACGGUCGCAAGAUUAAAACUCAAAGAAAUUGACGGGGGCCCGCACAAGCGGUGGAGCAUGUGGCUUAAUUCGAUGCAACGCGAAGAACCUUACCUGGCCUUGACAUGUACGUAGUGGAAGGAUGAAAGUCUGACGAGGUAGCAAUACCAGCGUACACAGGUGCUGCAUGGCUGUCGUCAGCUCGUGCCGUGAGGUGUUCGGUUAAGUCCGGUAACGAGCGCAACCCCUGUGAUCUGUUGCCACCCCAAUUUAUUGGGAGCACUCUGAUCAGACUGCCCUGCAUAACGGGGAGGAAGGUGGGGAUGACGUCAAGUCAGUAUGGUCCUUACGGCCAGGGCUGCACACGUGCUACAAUGCCCAGUACAGAGGGAAGCCAACUCGCGAGAGGGAGCCAAUCCCAGAAAACUGGGCUCAGUU
rnacentral:rRNA from 1 species